rnacentral:tRNA from 2 species
CCUUCGAUAGCUCAGUUGGUAGAGCGGUGGACUGUAGAAAUUUGGGAAAGUUAAAUGUGUACCGUUCCUCCUGAGGUUCGAUCACUUGAUCAAGCUUUCCGAUCGUGUAGAAAUCCAUAGGUCACUGGUUCAAAUCCGGUUCGAAGGA